rnacentral:rRNA from 1 species
GUAAUACAUCGGAACGUGCCCAAUCGGUGGGGGAUAACGUAGCGAAAGUUACGCUAAUACCGCAUACGAUCUACGGAUGAAAGCGGGGGAUCGCAAGACCUCGCGCGAAUGGAGCGGCCGAUGUCAGAUUAGGUAGUUGGUGGGUAAAGGCUCACCAAGCCAACGAUCUGUAGCUGGUCUGAGAGGACGACCAGCCACACUGGAACUGAGACACGGUCCAGACUCCUACGGGAGGCAGCAGUGGGAAUUUUGGACAAUGGGCGCAAGCCUGAUCCAGCCAUUCCCGCGUGCAGGAUGAAGGCCUUCGGGUUGUAAACUGCUUUUGUACGGAACGAAAGGUCCUGGUUAAUACCUGGGGCUCAUGACGGUACCGUAAGAAUAAGCACCGGCUAACUACGUG